rnacentral:tRNA from 1 species
GCGCCCGUAGUUUAGAGGUAGAAUGCUGGCCUUCCAAGCCAGGGGCCCGGGUUCGAAUCCCGGCGGGCGCA